AGUCCUAUCAACACAUUCUUUAACCGGGAAACGGUCGCCGGCUUUUCCGGACAGGCCGGCUAAACUGUGUCUCGAUCGACAGAAAGUUACUGAUAUUAUACUAGCAGUGAGACAAAGAUUCAAGACUAAAGAGAAUAUAAUUAGGAACAUAAUAACAGUAAAAUGCGCUGACGAGGGUAAAAUGAUGAAGACACGACUAAUGAAACAGGAAGAAAAAGAAAAUGAAUAGAAGUCGGUGUAUGUGAAAUACUUAUUUUACUAUUUACUGUAUAAAUUAAAUAAAACAAUAGUUCCUGUUCGUUCGUUAAAACUGUCAAAAACUGUUAAGUUAGACCAUUUUAAUGUUAAGUUAAUAAAAGUAGGUUUUCAUUAUAAGAUAUUAACCUAUAUUUGCUUUUGUAAUGACUCUUGUAUAAUACUUUAAUUACACUAUUUGACGAUUAAGUAAUGGAUUAGGCUUUAGUAUUUCAAUAUUAUAAAUGGCAUUUAUAGUAGUAUCAUAUUGUUUUUGUAAUAUGCAUUAGUCAUAAUAGUAUUUUGUAUUUUGAUUUUAGUGUAUUUUUUGAGGAUAAAAAAUUAUGUGGUAUCAUGGGACACCAGGUAGGAACGAAGUUCUUUAGGAUAGCAUAGAAGCAACACAAUUUAAAAAAAUGUUGAUUUAUAUAUAUAUAUUUUAAUUUUGUUGAUUGAAUUUUAAUUAAGUUCAUAAAAGUAUUUAGGAAAUUUAGUAUUUUAGAAAAUAACAAAUACCAUAAAAUAAAAUGAAUGAAACAAAAUAACAAUAAUAAUUUAAACUAUUAAGUGAAAUAAAUAAACAUGUCUUUAUUUAUUUUUGUCGACAGUAUAAAAUUACAUAAAUAAUUUAAAAAAAGUUUACUAGUAAUAUUUUAGUUUUACAAACCUCAUAUUAUACAGUCUUGUGACUGAUAUUACGUCACUUCCGUUUUAUAUUUUUCUUACGGUUUUAGUAUCACAUUUUUUUCAGUUCGCUCACCCGGCCAAAUGUCAUGCCUGCCGUAAGGAACUUCGUUCCAAUAAGGAACCUUUUAGGGAACUCCAUCUUAGCAACGAUGUGUGAUCUAAGUUCUUAAACAUAUAAACGAAAAAACAUAAAAUUAAAAAAUAACAAUAAAUAAGAAAUUUUAAUUUGUUCGUGGUCAAUACAGACACAUCUCGUGAAAUAUUAAAAAAUACAUUAUUUUACAUAUGCAAUAAACUUGGCUGUUAGAGAUGUAGCACCAAGUUUAUGUACUUUACAGAUUAAAGGUCAAAAUAGGGUAAAUUGAAAGCAAUAAUUUUUUUAAGUGACGUGUGUGAGUGAGUAAGUGAGUAUAUGAAUAGGUUUAGAGACAUUUCAAUUUUUGUGUUGUUAUUGUAAAAUGUAUUAUGAAAAUUUAAUUUUAUCAAUUUAUCGAAUUUGUUGUUGACGUUCAUUGAUUUAAUUCACAUUGUAAUAAUUUUUAUUAAAUGGCAUUUAAUAACUAAAUAAAAAUCAUGAUUCAUGAUUGAUUGAUGAUGA
rnacentral:misc_RNA from 1 species